CCGUAUUCAUGAUACAAUUAACAUGGCAACUGAUAUAUUCUACAAACAAAAAGAUCAGUCUUUAUAUUUGAUAAAAAUGAAAAUUUCAUAUUAGAAGCUUACAGAUCAUGAGAAACCGGGGGGGAGGGGGGUAUGAAAAUGAGUAUUUUAAGACUGAUACACUUCAUGGCUGGGCUUUAUCCUGUGGAAAACUAGGCAAGCCCUGUGCCGAGGUUGAAGAGUUAUAACCGUGUAAGGAGCUACAUAUAGGAUGGGGAGAGCUCAAAAGAAAAAAACAUAGUAGAAUCAUAGCAUCAGGGUGAACAUUUCUCCAAUACAAAUGUAAUAAGACCGUAGGUAAUGAAAGCUGCAUCUCAGGCGGAAAGUAAACAUGCAUCAUUGGUGGCAAAGAGUUGCCCUGGAGCGGCUGGGUGGUGGCAGCAAGUCAAGUUUAAUCGGAUGCAUGCUGGUAAGCCAAAAACUGAAUCGUGGGGAAAAAAAAAAAAAAAAAAAAACCUUUUGUGCCUUUUUUUCCCGUACACUUACUCGAAAACAUUACUUCAGCAGCUUCAAAAUUUGAAUCAAGAUCUCAAAUGGUCAAAGAAUAAACAACAGAUUUUUCCAAUUUAUUGGCAAGAUAUGGUACUUCUGAAAAAAAUGAUUAGGUGGUGGCUAGGCAUAUUGGUGGUCUCUGUGUGCAGUACCUCGAUGUUUUCAGGGACGGAUUCAGGAUUGGAUCCAAAAUCGAGUUAUAACAUUUCAAACCAGACUGCUACGUGGAAAAAAGAAAAUACACAUAAAAAACUAAUUUUUUACCCAAAAAAAUAGAAAAUAUCUUUAGAAAAAAUUUGCUGGGCCUGAGAGGGGGGGACUACAGCCUUGCCUCCCCCCCCAACCAAAUCCAUCCCUGGAUGUUUCUAACCUUUUUGCUCAUGAUUCUGUCUCAAAGGCUCGCUAGAGAGCCUUACAACUGGAACAAUUUUUUCAAACAGUGGUGGUGUGAGUGGAGGGACAGGGGCAGUGGGCAGCACCUGGCCACAUCGGGUUCGACAGUAGCAACACCACCUGCCGCUUCAGUGCCAAUCGGCUAUGCAACAGUGGCAGCGACACGAUUUAUAAUGACCGAACCCUUCUGUCCAAGCCUUUAACUUACAUACUGCUUGCUCUGGGAAAGUUUAAGCCUAUCUUAUCUCUCACGAGUUUCUAUUGCAUACCCAGAAUUCGGAUGGGUGAAAAGUCACAUCUUUAUUUGAGCGGCUAGAGAAAAUCCAAAGGUUGAGUGUUGGAGACGAGGGUCCAUGUGACUUGCUUAAUGGACUUCAAGGCUUGAAUUUGACUUUGAUAUGUUCAUCUCGUAUUUGUACUUGCCUUUGGACUUUUUUUUUAUUUAUUUGAAGAAGACUUUAAUAUUCAGGAUUUGACUUAAACUUGAUUUGAUUUGAAGAAAAAAAAUUUACAAGAAAUUUCCAGAACAUAGAUUUGAGAGAUUUUUACUCUCCUUCCUCUUGACCUAUGAAUUUUCUGUUGAACUUCUUUUUCAUGGACUUGUAAUUUUCUCAUGCACUUCAACUUUUGAUUUCUCUUGGACCCUAG
rnacentral:lncRNA from 1 species